rnacentral:rRNA from 1 species
GACGAACGCUGGCGGCGUGCUUAACACAUGCAAGUCGAACGGAAAGGCCCUGCUUUUGUGGGGUGCUCGAGUGGCGAACGGGUGAGUAACACGUGAGUAACCUGCCCUUGACUUUGGGAUAACUUCAGGAAACUGGGGCUAAUACCGGAUAGGAGCUCCUGCUGCAUGGUGGGGGUUGGAAAGUUUCGGCGGUUGUGGAUGGACUCGCGGCUUAUCAGCUUGUUGGUGGGGUAGUGGCUUACCAAGGCUUUGACGGGUAGCCGGCCUGAGAGGGUGACCGGGCACCUUGGGACUGAGAGACGGCGCAGACGGCUACGGGAGGCAGCAGUGGGGAGUAUGGCACAAUGGGCGGAAGCCUGAUGCAGCAACGCUGGGUGCGGGAUGACGGCCUUCUGGUUGUAAACCACUUUCGCCUGUGACGAAGCGUGAGUGACGGUAAUGGGUAAAGAAGCACCGGCUAACUACGUG